rnacentral:rRNA from 1 species
GAGUUUGAUCAUGGCUCAGAUUGAACGCUGGCGGCAGGCUUAACACAUGCAAGUCGAACGAACUAUUGGGGCUUGCUCUAAUAGUUAGUGGCGAACGGGUGAGUAAUGCCUAGGAAUCUGCCUUAUAGUGGGGGAUAACGUUUCGAAAGGAACGCUAAUACCGCAUACGUCCUACGGGAGAAAGGGGGCAUUUAUGCUCUCGCUAUUAGAUGAGCCUAGGUCAGAUUAGCUAGUUGGUAGGGUAAAGGCCUACCAAGGCUACGAUCUGUAGCGGGUCUGAGAGGAUGAUCCGCCACACUGGAACUGAGACAC